rnacentral:rRNA from 1 species
GACGAACGCUGGCGGCGUGCUUAACACAUGCAAGUCGAACGGAAAGGCCCUGCUUUUGUGGGGUGCUCGAGUGGCGAACGGGUGAGUAACACGUGAGUAACCUGCCCUUGACUUUGGGAUAACUUCAGGAAACUGGGGCUAAUACCGGAUAGGAGCUCCUGCUGCAUGGUGGGGGUUGGAAAGUUUCGGCGGUUGGGGAUGGACUCGCGGCUUAUCAGCUUGUUGGUGGGGUAGUGGCUUACCAAGGCUUUGACGGGUAGCCGGCCUGAGAGGGUGACCGGCCACACUGGGACUGAGAGACGGCCCAGACUGCUACGGGAGGCAGCAGUGGGGAAUAUUGCACAAUGGGCGGAAGCCUGAUGCAGCAACGCCGCGUGCGGGAUGACGGCCUUCGGGUUGUAAACCGCUUUCGCCUGUGACGAAGCGUGAGUGACGGUAAUGGGUAAAGAAGCACCGGCUAACUACGUG